ACGCUAGCUACAGGCUUAACACAUGCAAGUCGAGGGGAAACGGCAUUAAGUGCUUGCACUUUUUGGACGUCGACCGGCGCACGGGUGAGUAACGCGUAUCCAACCUUCCCAUGACUAAGGGAUAACCUGCCGAAAGGCAGACUAAUACCUUAUGGUCUUCACUGACGGCAUCAGAUGUGAAGUAAAGAUUUAUCGGUUAUGGAUGGGGAUGCGUCUGAUUAGCUUGUUGGCGGGGUAACGGCCCACCAAGGCAACGAUCAGUAGGGGUUCUGAGAGGAAGGUCCCCCACAUUGGAACUGAGACACGGUCCAAACUCCUACGGGAGGCAGCAGUGAGGAAUAUUGGUCAAUGGGCGAGAGCCUGAACCAGCCAAAUAGCGUGCAGGAUGACGGCCCUAUGGGUUGUAAACUGCUUUUGUAUGGGGAUAAAGUCAGUCACGUGUGAUUGUUUGCAGGUACCAUACGAAUAAGGACCGGCUAAUUCCGUGCCAGCAGCCGCGGUAAUACGGAAGGUCCGGGCGUUAUCCGGAUUUAUUGGGUUUAAAGGGAGCGUAGGCUGGAGAUUAAGUGUGUUGUGAAAUGUAGACGCUCAACGUCUGACUUGCAGCGCAUACUGGUUUCCUUGAGUACGCACAACGUUGGCGGAAUUCGUCGUGUAGCGGUGAAAUGCUUAGAUAUGACGAAGAACUCCGAUUGCGAAGGCAGCUGACGGGAGCGCAACUGACGCUGAAGCUCGAAGGUGCGGGUAUCGAACAGGAUUAGAUACCCUGGUAGUCCGCACAGUAAACGAUGGAUGCCCGCUGUUGGUACCUGGCAUCAGCGGCUAAGCGAAAGCAUUAAGCAUCCCACCUGGGGAGUACGCCGGCAACGGUGAAACUCAAAGGAAUUGACGGGGGCCCGCACAAGCGGAGGAACAUGUG
rnacentral:rRNA from 1 species